rnacentral:misc_RNA from 1 species
UAAAGUGCGAUAUCUAAUGUGAUUUGCAUGAAUCUGUGAGUCAUCUAGUCUUUGAACGCAACUUGCACCUCUCGAGAAAUCGAGCGGUAUGUCUGUUUGAGAACCACAAACCUCCUUGUCCACUUUUAGUGGCAGAUGUGGGACACUGCGGGUGUCUUGAAAUGAAGCAUGGUAAGGCCUGUGAGCGUGUGCCAUGUGCUAGAGAUCGCAAGAUCUUGUCAUGGUGUGCGGGAUCAGCCGAGCACUGGUGCAUGCGUGCGUCGUGUGUGUGUGUGUGUGCGUACUAUACGUACACGUCAUUUCACGUCACGUCACGCACGUAUGCAUCGUCAUCAUCAUAUCGAGGUCUCAAAUCAGGCAAGAUUACCCGCUGAACUUAA